rnacentral:rRNA from 1 species
GACAGAGGGUGCAAACGUUGUUCGGAAUUACUAGGCGUAAAGCGUGUGUAGGCGGCUAUGUAAGUCGGAUGUGAAAGCCCCGGGCUCAACUCGGGAAGUGCACUCGAUACUGCGUAGCUUGAGUACCGGAGAGGUUGGUGGAAUUCUCGGUGUAGAGGUGAAAUUCGUAGAUAUCGAGAGGAACACCGGUGGCGAAGGCGGCCAACUGGACGAGUACUGACGCUGAGACACGAAAGCGUGGGGAGCAAGCAGG